rnacentral:misc_RNA from 1 species
CUGCGAUAUCCGUAGGCUGCGGUUGCGUGCCACAACCCUAGAAAUUGUGCAAAUUCCUCCGACGCCCAUUUUGAUCAUAGGAGAGCUUGAGAGAUAAGUUAAUCCAUUGUAGCAUCUAUUAAACGAGCUGGUCUUACUCUCGUAUACAAUGGCAGAUACAGGUGAAAAUCAGCCGCCUGAACAAGUCUGUAGCUUCUUCAGAAAACCCACAAAGAACAAAAACAUCAGAAAACGGACGGUUGAUGAAGACGAAGAAGAUGACUCUAAAACCGAGACUUCGUUGCUUCAAAAUCAGAAGAAAGCCCCCAAGACUGAAAGCAAG